UGACCGUAGUUAAAUUAAUGAAAAAAAGAAUCUUACGGGCCGGUUAUUGUGGGUCUUUAUCUCUUCAAUCAACAUAUCUGCUUACCAAACUUCUCAUAAAU